AGUUCGGAUUGUAGUCUGNAACCCGACUACAUGAAGCUGGAAUCGCUAGUAAUCGCAGGUCAGCAUACUGCGGUGAAUACGUUCCCGGGUCUUGUACACACCGCCCGUCACACCAUGGGAGCCGGAAAUGCCCGAAGCCAGUGACCCAACCUUAGGGAGGGAGCUGUCGAAGGUGGAGCCGGUAACUGGGGUGAAGUCGUAACAAGGUAGC
rnacentral:rRNA from 1 species